GUAAGGAAUAUUGGACAAUGGACGCAAGUCUGAUCCAGCCAUGCCGCGUGAAGGAUUAAGGUCCUCUGGAUUGUAAACUUCUUUUAUAAGGGACGAAAAAAGGCUUUUCUAAGUCGUCUGACGGUACCUUAUGAAUAAGCACCGGCUAACUCCGUGCCAGCAGCCGCGGUAAUACGGAGGGUGCAAGCGUUAUCCGGAUUCACUGGGUUUAAAGGGUGCGUAGGCGGGCAGGUAAGUCAGUGGUGAAAUCCUAGAGCUUAACUCUAGAACUGCCAUUGAUACUAUCUGUCUUGAAUAUUGUGGAGGUAAGCGGAAUAUGUCAUGUAGCGGUGAAAUGCUUAGAUAUGACAUAGAACACCAAUUGCGAAGGCAGCUCACUACACAAAUAUUGACGCUGAGGCACGAAAGCGUGGGGAUCAAACAGGAUUAGAUACCCCGGUAGUCC
rnacentral:rRNA from 1 species